rnacentral:misc_RNA from 1 species
CAGCGGAACUGACAAUGUAACGAAACUCAGGCAUUAGGCUGAGUGGGAACGGAAUCGUGAGAGGAUGUUCCUCCUGAGAACCACAACUCGGGUGAGUGC